ensembl:lncRNA
GGAGAGCAGAGCGGAGUGCGGCGGCUCGCCCGCUGCCUGACCCCGCCGCCCGGGGAAGAGGGGUUUUUUCAGUGUUCUGAAGCUGGCAUGGGAGGACAUCAUACUGAAGAACCUGUUAAUUUUCAGCAAUACCGAAAUGUUCCUGCUGGAGUCUUUAAUGUUAUAAAGAGCUCUGUGGUUUUCUGCUUUGGCUAUUUUUAAAGUUUUCUAUGCCUACCUUUCCAUCUUAAUGACAUGCCAGGAGAGCACUUCACAUUCCAACAAAGGCAAUGAACUUUUUGAGUGCAAGCAGGUGGCUUUUGGAAAACUUUGUAGAAGAGAUUUAGUGCUGAAUUUUCUUCUUUUCAUGUUCCUUAAUGCAGUGUGAUAAGUUAGAACACUGUACUCAUAUUCUGUGGGCCUGAACAGCUGACAAUAUAAAAUACCUGACCCAAAACUUUUUCUCAAGGAGCAAGGUCAGUACCUAAAAAAACAGGAAAUCCUUGGGAAAAGCAAGUACAUUGUUAUAAGGUUGAAUAAUACCUUAUUAUUUGCCUUAUUUAUAUAUAAAUAUAUGUAAUAAUAAUACCUUAUUUGCCUCCGCAUAACUCUGAGGCAAAAUGGAAGGAGAUAUGAGGGGAGUUAUAAAAGCUUAGCUUAUCUCAGGCUUGGAGUAAGGAGGGAGGAGUUUGCUGUAGAGAAACACAGACAUUUAAAGGGAAGUGGUGAGAAAGAGACAUUACUAUGUGUACAGCAUAUACUACAUAAGAGAAAGUCUGAAAGGAAAGCUAACCUCAAGCUAGACUGCUCUUUUUUUCCCCUCUAAGUUACAAAAUGAAGUGAUGAUUUUAAUUGUAUUUUGUUUUCCUUCCAUAAAUAAACAGGAGAAUCAACAGUGGCUAUGUGGGAACAUUAAAAUGCCAUCUGGAAGUGGUGCUGUUGUGCCUUCGGCUAAAGUUUUCAUGAUAAGUUAACACUGCUUUCGAAAGAUUCAGCGUCUCUUCUUCUCGCUACCUGUUGUCUUUGUUAGUGCUAGCCUUAACAUGGCUGUGUGAGGAAUUGAGUCAAAGAACUGAUCUGAGCUAAAAUGACAUGGCAAAGAUAUUAAUGGUUGGGUUUUGACCCAGAACAAUUUCCUGAUUCAUUCCACUGUGCCUGUCCUCUCAUGUACGAAGGGUUGGCUUUAGGGUGUGAGUGGUGGAAAAGGGUAGGCUACUUCUACUGCCAAUGCCAGCUUAUAGAAUAUUAAGGUGAUUGUGAAAUUACAGUCUUAACCAAGAAACACUUCUUACCCCGUAUUUUCAUCAUAUCUUUGAAACAUGUUCGGUGGGUUUUAUUUCAGAUCUUAAUGUUAAAUAUACAGUGAGUUCUAUAAUCACCUGGAAGGAGCUUCUAUGGUCUGUUUAGUAAGUACCUAAUUCCAGAUGAUGGUAAAUAUAUUGUUGGUACUGCAAUUUGCAACAGGCCCCUCUUAACCAUUUCAGAAGGUUUCUUAAAUACAUUGAGCAUUUAAAUGUUGUUCUUCUCUUUUACCAUUCAUAUGGAACUGCUAAGUAUUUGCAGUUGAGUCCUUUUUAAACAUGGUAUUUUGGCUUUUUAUGCCUAGUGUGCUUUUCUAGUAGCGUGUCUUCAAGAAAUGGUGUGAAGUGGUUUGUUUGCAUCUAUUUUCUAUUGUUUCUUACUAUUGUUGUCUUCUGUUACAUGUCAGGCUAUGUAACGCUCUUUAGUUCAGGACUGUGGAUCUGUUUUGAAUUAACUUAUUCUCAGUGGUGUCAAUAAACUUUGCUUCUGUCCCCUAA